UGGGGAAUCUUGCACAAUGGGCGCAAGCCUGAUGCAGCCAUGCCGCGUGUGUGAAGAAGGCCUUCGGGUUGUAAAGCACUUUCAGCGGGGAGGAAGGCGGUGAGGUUAAUAACCUCAUCGAUUGACGUUACCCGCAGAAGAAGCACCGGCUAACUCCGUGCCAGCAGCCGCGGUAAUACGGAGGGUGCAAGCGUUAAUCGGAAUUACUUGGCGUAAAGCGCACGCAGGCGGUUUGUUAAGUCAGAUGUGAAAUCCCCGGGCUCAACCUGGGAACUGCAUCUGAUACUGGCAAGCUUGAGUCUCGUAGAGGGGGGUAGAAUUCCAGGUGUAGCGGUGAAAUGCGUAGAGAUCUGGAGGAAUACCGGUGGCGAAGGCGGCCCCCUGGACGAAGACUGACGCUCAGGUGCGAAAGAGUGGGGAGCAAACAGG
rnacentral:rRNA from 1 species